rnacentral:rRNA from 1 species
GACAGAGGGUGCAAACGUUGUUCGGAAUUACUGGGCGUAAAGCGCGUGUAGGCGGGUCUUUAAGUCAGGGGUGAAAUGCCAAGGCUCAACCUUGGAACUGCCUUUGAUACUGGAGAUCUUGAGUCCGGGAGAGGUGAGUGGAAUUGCGAGUGUAGAGGUGAAAUUCGUAGAUAUUCGCAAGAACACCAGUGGCGAAGGCGGCUCACUGGCCCGGAACUGACGCUGAGACGCGAAAGCGUGGGGAGCAAACAAG